rnacentral:rRNA from 1 species
UAUGCGGAUCGUUGUGUUGGUGCUCAUGUGCCGGCACAACACCGUAUAAGCAGGUGAAACUUCUUAGAGGGACUGGCGGUCAAAAAACCGCACGAAAAAGAGCAAUAACAGGUCUGUGAUGCCCUAAGAUGUCCGGGGCCGCACGCGUGCUACAAUGACGAUGCUAAUGAGCAUGAUUCACUUGGCCGAAAGGCUAGGUAAAACUUCUCAAUCAUCGUCGUGACUGGGAUUGGGGUUUGUAAUUAUUCCCCAUGAACCAGGAAUUCCUAGUAAGCACAAGUCAUUAGCUUGUGCUGAUUACGUCCCUGCCCUUUGUACACACCGCCCGUCGCUACUACCGAUUGAAUGGUUUAGCAAGGUCAUCGGAUUGAGUCGUUGCGGUUAACGCUGCUCCGAUUUGAGAAGAUGGCCGAACUUGAUCAUUUAGAGGAAGUAAAAGUCGUAACAAGGUUUCCGUAGGUGAACCUGCGGAAGGAUCAUUA